GCACUGCUGAUGAGUCCCGUACUAGGACGAAACAACCGUCCAGUGC
rnacentral:hammerhead_ribozyme from 1 species